AUUUUGAAAUCUAACAACACCCAAAGAAUGAAAAAGAAAACUCCAAAUCCCAAUAUCUCAAAAUCCUCUUCUUUUUUUUCUGGCUACUGAGAAAAAUUCCAAUAUCUUAAGAACUACAGCAUGCCUUCUUUUCUGGGAUAACUUGUGCAGGACCAGGUACAAGAAUUUUCUUCCCAGUUAAUGAAGCAGGAUUACCAUUUGCUUGAUCAUCACCAGCGGCGAGAUUCUUCUUGUUCACAAUGUUGAAGAUCUCUGUCAAAACAGUUAAGAAGGCGUCCUCGAUGUUUGUGGCCUCCAUUGCAGAUGUCUCUAAGAAGAACAA
rnacentral:misc_RNA from 1 species